rnacentral:rRNA from 1 species
ACUUAAAUUGAAGAGUUUGAUCAUGGCUCAGAUUGAACGCUGGCGGCAGGCCUAACACAUGCAAGUCGAGCGGCAGCGGGAAAGUAGCUUGCUACUUUUCCGGCGAGCGGCGGACGGGUGAGUAAUGCCUGGGGAUCUGCCCAGUCGAGGGGGAUAACUACUGGAAACGGUAGCUAAUACCGCAUACGCCCUACGGGGG